rnacentral:sRNA from 1 species
AUUAUAUAAAAAAUUACAUUAUUUAAAUAUGCAUUAGGCCACCAAAAUUAAAAAAUCGGUCAUGCAAGAAAGUCUACAUCAAUGAGUACGUCUUGCGUCUGAUCCCCAACUUUCCUUCUAUAUAUGGUAACAACAAAAAUCGAUGGAAUCUUUAGACCUAAUAUCCACCACCGGCAAAUGGCAAGUGGUCAAAUUAGCCUCAAAUCUCAACCCGAUGAAACCUACCGUCAAUGUGCCACAAGGUCAUUAUGGGUUCCAACAUAUAUUUUGUCAACAAGAAAGGCAUGGGCUGCAAAGUGUUGGACUUGGACACAACAACACUUAAAAUGGAGAGAAAUUAUGAUGCAGCUAUGAAAAACAAUGAUUAUGCCACCUCCCUGUGUUAUAAACAAGCGUUUAUAUAUAUUUAUAUAUAUUGUUAUAUUCUUAAUUUUGGUAUGAAAAUGUGUUAUUUUUUCAAAUCACCCAAAAAAACAUUCCAUCAGAAAAAUAAAGAAGGCUAAUGGAAAAAACACAA